AAUCAACGCUGGCGGCGUGCCUCAGACAUGCAAGUCGAACGAUUAAAGCUCUCUUCGGAGAGUGCAUAGAGUGGCGCACGGGUGAGUAACACGUAAGUAAUCUACCUUCGAGUGGGGAAUAACGUCCGGAAACGGACGCUAAUACCGCAUAAUGCAGCGGCAUCGUAAGAUGACAGUUGUUAAAGGAGCAAUUCGCUUGAAGAGGAGCUUGCGGCAGAUUAGCUAGUUGGUAAGGUAAUGGCUUACCAAGGCUACGAUCUGUAUCCGGUCUAAGAGGACGGUCGGACACACUGACACUGAAUAACGGGUCAGACUCCUACGGGAGGCAGCAGUCGGGAAUUUUGGGCAAUGGGGGAAACCCUGACCCAGCAACGCCGCGUGAAGGAUGAAGUUUUUCGGAAUGUAAACUUCGAAAGAAUAGGAAGAAUCAAUGACGGUACUAUUUAUAAGGUCCGGCUAACUACGUGCCAGCAGCCGCAGUAAAAC
rnacentral:rRNA from 1 species